rnacentral:piRNA from 1 species
UACUCCACAGCAUGGGAGAGGGCCUGAGC